rnacentral:rRNA from 1 species
CUACGGGCUGCUGCAGUGGGGAAUAUUGCACAGUGGGCGCAAGCCUGAUGCAGCCAUGCCGCGUGUAUGAAGAAGGCCUUCGGGUUGUAAAGUACUUUCAGCGGGGAGGAAGGGAGUAAAGUUAAUACCUUUGCUCAUUGACGUUACCCGCAGAAGAAGCACCGGCUAACUCGCGUGCCAGCAGCCGCGGUAAUACGGAGGGUGGGCAAGCGUUAAUCGGAAUUACUGGGCGUAAAGCGCACGCAGGCGGUUUGUUAAGUCAGAUGUGAAAUCCCCGGGCUCAACCUGGGAACGGCAUCUGAUACUGGCAAGCUUGAGUCGCGGAGAGGGGGGUAGAAUUCCAGGUGUAGCGGUGAAAUGCGUAGAGAUCUGGAGGAAUACCGGUGGCGAAGGCGGCCCCCUGGACGAAGACUGACGCUCAGGUGCGAAAGCGUGGGGAGCAAACAGGAUUAGAUACCCCCGUAGUC